rnacentral:rRNA from 1 species
UACGUAGGGCGCAAGCGUUGUCCGGAAUUAUUGGGCGUAAAGAGCUCGUAGGCGGUUUGUCGCGUCUGCUGUGAAAACCUAAGGCUCAACCUUGGGCUUGCAGUGGGUACGGGCAGACUAGAGUGCGGUAGGGGUGACUGGAAUUCCUGGUGUAGCGGUGGAAUGCGCAGAUAUCAGGAGGAACACCGAUGGCGAAGGCAGGUCACUGGGCCGCAAACUGA